rnacentral:rRNA from 1 species
UGAAGCUGGAUUCGCUAGUAAUCGCGCAUCAGCCACGGCGCGGUGAAUACUUCCCGGGCCUUGUACACACCGCCCGUCAAGCCAUGGAAGCCGGGAGUGCCUGAAGUGCGUGAGCGCAAGCAGCGCCCUAAGGUAAAACCGGUGACUGGGGCUAAGUCGUAACAAGGUACC